UGGGGAAUUUUGGACAAUGGGCGAAAGCCUGAUCCAGCAAUGCCGCGUGUGUGAAGAAGGCCUUCGGGUUGUAAAGCACUUUUGUCCGGAAAGAAAUCCUCUGGGUUAAUACCUCGGGGGGAUGACGGUACCGGAAGAAUAAGCACCGGCUAACUACGUGCCAGCAGCCGCGGUAAUACGUAGGGUGCAAGCGUUAAUCGGAAUUACUGGGCGUAAAGCGUGCGCAGGCGGUUUUGUAAGACGGAUGUGAAAUCCCCGGGCUUAACCUGGGAACUGCAUUCGUGACUGCAAGGCUAGAGUAUGGCAGAGGGUGGUAGAAUUCCACGUGUAGCAGUGAAAUGCGUAGAGAUGUGGAGGAAUACCGAUGGCGAAGGCAGCCCCCUGGGCCAAUACUGACGCUCAUGCACGAAAGCGUGGGGAGCAAACA
rnacentral:rRNA from 1 species